GGGCCGUUAGCUCAGGUGGUAGAGCAGCUGCCUUUUAAGCAGCGGGUCGGAGGUUCGAGUCCUCCACGGCUCA
rnacentral:tRNA from 1 species